CAGCAGCCACGGGAAUACGGAGGGAGCUAGCGUUGUUCGGAAUUACUGGGCGUAAAGCGCACGUAGGCGGCUUUGUAAGUUAGAGGUGAAAGCCUGGAGCUCAACUCCAGAAUUGCCUUUAAGACUGCAUCGCUUGAAUCCAGGAGAGGUGAGUGGAAUUCCGAGUGUAGAGGUGAAAUUCGUAGAUAUUCGGAAGAACACCAGUGGCGAAGGCGGCUCACUGGACUGGUAUUGACGCUGAGGUGCGAAAGCGUGGGGAGCAAACAGGAUUAGAUACCCCUGUAGUCCCUGUCUCUUAUAC
rnacentral:rRNA from 1 species